CACGAGUGCUACCAUGAAGAGUGCAAUAUCAAGAUUUCAGAAUACAUACUUCUCAACAAUGGGAUAUUCUGCUGCUCUUCGAUUUGCUUUGGGAUUUUAAGGAUAUGGCCUACCAACCCAGCUAGGUUACUUGUGCUUGCUGGAAGGUAGCCUAGUAUCAUCGGCUUCAGUCAUCUUCCUGGUCUUGGCAAAUUUAUUUAGAAUCCAUAGUUUUCAAAAACAGGCAAGAGUUGAGUGGGUUCUACCACAGGCAGUCACUAGUGAUUGAGGAUUCCACUUCAGCCAUCAGAGUUCCAUUGCUUUGCCAUA